CAGCCGCCGCGGUAAUACGAGGGGAGCAAGCGUUGUUCGGAAUUAUUGGGCGUAAAGGGUGCGUAGGCGGCUUGACAAGUCUUGUGUGAAAUCUAUGGGCUAACCCAUAGUCUGCACGGGAAACUGUCGGGCUUGAGAAUGGGAGAGGUGAGUGGAAUUUCCGGUGUAGCGGUGAAAUGCGUAGAUAUCGGAAGGAACACCUGUGGCGAAAGCGGCUCACUGGACCAUUUCUGACGCUCAUGCACGAAAGCGUGGGGAGCAAACAGGAUUAGAUACCCCCGUAGUCCCUGUCUCUUAUCAC
rnacentral:rRNA from 1 species